UAAAAUAAUUAAGGGCACACAAAGGAUGCCUAGGUAGUAAGAGCCGAUGAAGGACGUGGUAAGCUGCGAUAAGCCUAGAUAAGUUGCAAUCGAACGUAAGAGUCUAGGAUUUCCGAAUGGAGCAAUCUAUUAAGAUGGAGUCUUAAUACGAAAGAGGGAACCGCGUGAACUGAAACAUCUAAGUAACGCGAGGAAAAGAAAGUAAAAACGAUACCCAAAGUAGCGGCGAGCGAAAUGGGUCAAGCCUAAACCUUAAAUAUGUCAAGGAUACAGCCGUUGUAUUUAAGGGGUUGAGGGACAGAGUAGUGAAGAACUGUAAGAUAUUCAAUAUAGUGUAUUGAUGAAUUGGAAUUGUCUGGAAAGGCGAACCGUAGAAGGUGAAAGUCCUGUACAAGUAAAUCCUUACACAUAUAACUCUGCUCCCAAGUAACAUGGAACACGAGGAAUUCUGUGUGAAUCUGUGAGGACCAUAUCUCAUAAGGCUAAAUACUCUUACUAACCGAUAGCGCAUAGUACCGUGAGGGAAAGGUGAAAAGAACCCCUGGAGGGGAGUGAAAUAGAACCUGAAAUUGUGUGCUUACAAGCGGUCAGAGCCAGUAAUGGUGAUGGCGUGCCUUUUGGAGAAUGAUCCUGCGAGUUACGUUAAACGGCGAGGUUAAGUAUAACGGAGCCGAAGGGAAACCAAGUCUUAAUAGGGCGAUUUAGUCGUUUGGCGUAGACGCGAAACCUGGUGAUCUAAACCUGUCCAGGAUGAAGCUGUGGUAAGACACAGUGGAGGUCCUAACCCACCGCCGUUGAAAAGUUGGGGGAUGAGGUAGGUUUAGGGGUGAAAAGCCAAUCGAACCAGGAGAUAGCUCGUUCUCUCCGAAAUGUAUCUAGGUACAGCCUUGAGUGUUCAAUUAUGGGGGUAGAGCACUGAAUGAUCUAGGGGGCGUAUUGCUUACUGAAAUCAAUCAAACUCCGAAUACCAUAAUUUAUAGCUCAGGAGUGAGACUAUGGGAGUUAACUUCCAUUGUCGAAAGGGAAACAACCCAGACCACCAGCUAAGGUCCCUAAUUAUAACUAAGUGGGAAAGGAGGUGGAGAUUCACAAACAACUAGGAGGUUGGCUUAGAAGCAGCCAUACCUUUAAAGAGUGCGUAAUAGCUCACUAGUCGAGAGUCUCUGCGCCGACAAUGUAACGGGGCUAAGUUAUAAACCGAAGCUGUGGAAUCCGUAAGGAUUGGUAGGAGAGCGUUCUGUAGGCCGUUGAAGGAGAAGGGUAACCGACUCUGGAGGUAUCAGAAGUGAGAAUGCAGGAAUAAGUAGCGAGAAAGGGGGCGAGAAUCCCCCUCGCCGGAAGACCAAGGUUUUCAGGGUAAAGCUUGUCUUCCCUGAGUAAGCCGGGACCUAAGCCCAGGCUAUAAUGCGUAGGCGAAUGGAAAACAGAUUAAUAUUUCUGUGCCAGUCAUAUAUUGUGAUGGAGGGACGCAGAAGGGUAUGUGCGCGGACGAACGGAAGUGUCCGUAGAAGUAUGUAGGAUGACUUGAUAGGUAAAUCCAUUGAGUUAUAUCUGAGGUAUGAUAUACAGUCGUAAGAUGAAUGUGCAAAUCCCACGCUGCCAAGAAAAGCUUCUAACGUUAAUAUUUGACUGCCCGUACUGCAAACCGACACAGGUGGUCAGGAUGAGAAAUCUAAGGCGGACAGGCUAACUCUCGUUAAGGAACUCUGCAAAAUAACCUCGUAACUUCGGGAGAAGAGGAGCCCUUGAGGGUCAGUAUCCACGCGAUACAAAGCGCUCGAGGGUCGCAGUGAAGAGGCUCAAGCAACUGUUUAACAAAAACACAGGUCUAUGCUAAGCUGGAAGGCGAUGUAUAUGGGCUGACACCUGCCCAGUGCUGGAAGGUUAAGAGGAGGAGUGAGAGCUCCGAAUUGAAGCCCCAGUGAACGGCGGCCGUAACUAUAACGGUCCUAAGGUAGCGAAAUUCCUUGUC
rnacentral:rRNA from 1 species